GUGGGGAAUUGUUCGCAAUGGGCGAAAGCCUGACGACGCAACGCCGCGUGGAGGAUGAAGGUCUUCGGAUUGUAAACUCCUGUUGAUCGGGAAGAACUCCCCUGGGAUUAAUACCUUCAGGGGUUGACGGUACCGGUUGAGGAAGCCCCGGCUAACUCUGUGCCAGCAGCCGCGGUAAUACAGAGGGGGCGAGCGUUGUUCGGAAUUACUGGGCGUAAAGGGCGCGUAGGCGGCCGACUAAGUCAGACGUGAAAUCCCCAGGCUCAACCUGGGAACUGCGUCUGAUACUGGCUGGCUUGAAUCCGGGAGAGGGAUGCGGAAUUCCAGGUGUAGCGGUGAAAUGCGUAGAUAUCUGGAGGAACACCGGUGGCGAAGGCGGCAUCCUGGACCGGCAUUGACGCUGAGGCGCGAAAGCCAGGGGAGCAAACGGGAUUAGAAACCCGGGUAGUCC
rnacentral:rRNA from 1 species